rnacentral:rRNA from 1 species
UACGUAGGUGGCAAGCGUUGUCCGGAUUUACUGGGCGUAAAGGAUGCGUAGGCGGACAUUUAAGUCAGAUGUGAAAUACCCGAGCUUAACUUGGGUGCUGCAUUUGAAACUGGGUGUCUAGAGUGCAGGAGAGGUAAGUGGAAUUCCCAGUGUAGAGGUGAAAUUCGUAGAUAUUGGGAAGAACACCGGUGGCGAAGGCGGCUCACUGGCUCGUAACUGACGCUCAUGCACGACAGCGUGGGGAUCAAACAGG